ACCAAAUAGCCAGCUGGGUAUUGGCGAAUUGAGAGAGGUUUCAGACAAAUCAAGAACUUCAAGGUGCUUCAGACUUGCAGAGGAGGACAACAAGAGAGGUAAUUUCUUGAUCUCACAAUUGAACAAGCGCAACUCUUUUAGCGUCGUGACUCUGCUGAAAUUCUCUAACCAGGUUUCACCGGCGCUGCUCAGAUUCACAUACCCCAUGUUGAGGUACUUCAGAGAAGAAGACAGACCCGAAAUCCACCCGAGGUUGCUUGCGCGUAGAGAAAACGUACCA
rnacentral:lncRNA from 1 species